GCAUUAAUGGGGUAGUGGUAACCUGGGUCGUUGCCAUUGGAAAGUCCUACAUAAGCUCGACCCGCCGGGGGUUCGAUUCCCCCUUAAUGCA
rfam:Moniliophthora roreri strain MCA 2952 kmer90.90459, whole genome shotgun sequence.